GGGCGUGGCAAAGGGAUGAGGGUGGGACGAUGCGGUGUUGCCAUGACGACGGCUUCCGGGAGGGCAGGUUGAGGUGACUUCCGGCCGGAAGGCGAGACUCCGCGGGAAAAGCGCCUCUGGUUGGUAGACCGGUAGGUUUCUGGCUGAGGCCGUUUCCUCAAGAGCCACCGUGGGUCUGUGCUAGGGUCACGCCGCCGGCCUCCGUUUCCUUUAUCCUCCUCUCUCACCAAACGCUUUUCCCGUCCAGUUAUAAAGUCAAGUUGUUUCCCUAAGGAAGAUUAGCCCUGAGCUGACAUCUGCUGCCAGUCCUUCUCUUUUUGCUGAGGAAGAGUGGUCCUAAGCUAACAUCUGUACCCAUCUUCCUCUAUUUUAUGUCUGGGACGCCUGCCACAGCAUAGCUCAGAAUUCAUCAUUUUGAAGAUACAAUUACUACUUCACUUUAACAAACAGAUGCAUCCCAUUCAAAACAACACGUACCACCCAACCAGGACAGUAGAAUCUCUUCUGAAAAUGCCCUCAAACCAUCUCACUUGGCUCAGGCUCCCAAACUGGAUGUGAAAUGAUGGGAAAAGAGAAAAGCAUGAGAGCAUUAGAAAAGGGAGGAAGAGGAAGACCGUCUUUUGGGCUGGAGUAGUCAUCAUGUUCAGAGAGGUUACAUCUCAGCACUUCUCAUCAUGGCCAAAAGGAAUGUUUCUGUUCAGCUGACUGUCAUGAGUUUCUUUUGUAAAGGAAAUGAUUUGGGGAAAGGGUUCAUAGCGGGAGUGAGAGAUUACAUUUAAAGAUAUAUUUCUUCUCCAAGUAAAAAUGAAGACAUUGACAGAGAUGUUUUUGUCCACUUAUUGAUUUAUACACUAUAUUUAAAAUUUUCCCAGAACUUCAAAGGAUGUGUUCCCUGGGGUUCAAAUAAAUUUGCAUCAGCAGCUUUGGUAUUGAUUAUUCAGAAAAAUACAGAAACCCUUUUCCUACUCCGUUAUUAGACGUGAGCAGUGACUUUACAGAGGGGUUCAUGCCCUAAUAUAAACAAUAUGGCCAAUAUUUAUUUGAUUUAUUAAAAAAAAAAAAAGAUCUGAAGAACUGUGCCUCUUUAUGCCUGGUUUCACUUACUACUAUAGAUUUUGAAGGCUCAAGCUAAAGUUGAAGCCGACCAGUUUGAAGAUCCUUUGCCUGUUCUUAUAAGUGGAGCUCUUUCAGGGUAAUUCCAGGGAGAUUUGCUGUAGGUAACAUUAGACAGACACUGAACAUAAUGUAGGAUGGAUGCAAACUGAAAGAGUGAUCUUGGGGAUCAUUCAACGUUGAAAAGCCUUUGAUUGUCUUGACUGGAGCUUCUUCUGGAAGAUGUACUGAAUGAGUCUGGGAUCAAAACCAAUUUCUCAGGUUUGAUGCAGUUGUAAUAUGGAAAUCCACCAGAUUCUGCUAUGACUAAUUAGAGAUGUGUGAAGAGGGUUUCUCUUUUCCAACAUUAUUGAUUUUUCUUUCAAACCCCCCAGUUUCACACAGAAAAUCUCUGGCAUUUAAAAGUGUUCAAUUUAGUACAGUUCACUGAUGCAUGUAAUCUUUGCUAACUGCAUCCCAUUUUCUCUGAACUUGGUUUUUCAGGCCCUCUUAUGUUCCGGGUAUAUUUGAGAUUUACUUUAGGUUUUAAGUAAAAUCAAAGAUGCACCCAGGACAUCUGAACACUGAGAGGAUAAAUUUAAUAUUUGGAUUUUUUUUAGUUAGAAUUUUUUCCUUCCCUCCGUUGGAAAUAUAGGAAAUUAUCCAAGCCCAGAAAUAAAGAAGUAUAAUUUUAAAAAGUGGAUUCUACAGAAUCUAAGCUUACAAAUCAGUCGAGGGAUUUGUUUAUGUCUUCAAUCUCAUCUGUCCUGGAAAAAGUGAGAAAAUUAAGAUGGAUAAUAGCACCUGGAAAUUUACGACAUUGGGGAAAAAUCUGUGAUUGAAUAGCAUAACUCAGGUAUAAGCUAUGGCUCUUUGCCACCUCAACUCCUCUCUUCCCACUGCAUCUUUUAACAUUGCCUCAUAUCUCUUAGGCUAUUGUGGACAGAUAUCAUACCCUGUAACUUCUCAUUAAAGUCAGAGCCAUAUGCUGGCAUUUUAUGUUUUCUGCUCCUCUCAUAUGAGGAAAGAUGCUAGACAGAUGUAUCAGAUGAUAAACAUUGCAUAUUGAGAGUGAAGCCUUUUUCUCUUUGAAUUUAAGAUAAUGUAAUGUAUAAGAGUAUAUCUUUAAUUGAACAUUUUCUUCUCCUCUGUCAUAUGGGAACUUUUCUUUGUCCUCAGUUUUCUCUUCUCAAGAAAUAAAUUGUAGAAGACCUAGAGGAAAAA
ensembl:lncRNA